rnacentral:rRNA from 1 species
AACGAACGCUGGCGGCAUGCCUAACACAUGCAAGUCGAACGAGAUCUUCGGGUCUAGUGGCGCACGGGUGCGUAACGCGUGGGAAUCUGCCCUUUGGUUCGGAAUAACAGUUGGAAACGACUGCUAAUACCGGAUGAUGACGAGAGUCCAAAGAUUUAUCGCCAGAGGAUGAGCCCGCGUAGGAUGAGCUAGUUGGUGUGAUAAAGGCGCACCAAGGCGACGAUCCUUAGCUGGUCUGAGAGGAUGAUCAGCCACACUGGGACUGAGACACGGCCCAGACUCCUACGGGAGGCAGCAGUGGGGAAUAUUGGACAAUGGGCGAAAGCCUGAUCCAGCAAUGCCGCGUGAGUGAUGAAGGCCUUAGGGUUGUAAAGCUCCUUUACCCGGGAUGAUAAUGACAGUACCGGGAGAAUAAGCUCCGGCUAACUCCGUGCCAGCCGCCGCCGUAA